rnacentral:rRNA from 1 species
GGUUAAGUUAGAAAGGGCGCACGGUGGAUGCCUUGGCACUAGGAGCCGAAGAAGGACGGGACUAACACCGAUAUGCUUUGGGGAGCUGUACGUAAGCGUUGAUCCAGAGAUUUCCGAAUGGGGGAACCCACUAUCUUUAGUCGGAUAGUAUCCUUACGUGAAUACAUAGCGUGAGGAAGGCAGACCCAGGGAACUGAAACAUCUAAGUACCUGGAGGAAGAGAAAGAAAAAUCGAUUUCCUGAGUAGCGGCGAGCGAAACGGAAAGAGCCCAAACCAAGAAGCUUGCUUCUUGGGGUUGUAGGACACUCUAUACGGAGUUACAAAAGAAAGUUAUAAAUGAAGCGGUCUGGAAAGGCCCGCCAAAGACGGUAACAGCCCGGUAGUUGAAAUGGCUUUCCCUCCAGAGUGGAUCCUGAGUACGGCGGAACACGUGAAAUUCCGUCGGAAUCCGGGAGGACCAUCUCCCAAGGCUAAAUACUCCCUAGUGACCGAUAGUGAACCAGUACCGUGAGGGAAAGGUGAAAAGCACCCCGGAAGGGGAGUGAAACAGUUCCUGAAACCGUGUGCCUACAAGUAGUUAGAGCCCGUUAAUGGGUGAUAGCGUGCCUUUUGUAGAAUGAACCGGCGAGUUACGAUUUGUUGCAAGGUUAAGCGGAAAAAGCGGAGCCGUAGCGAAAGCGAGUCUGAAUAGGGCGCAUAAGUAACAGGUCGUAGACCCGAAACCAGGUGAUCUACCCAUGUCCAGGAUGAAGGUAAGGUAAUACUUACUGGAGGUCCGAACCCACGCACGUUGAAAAGUGCGGGGAUGAGGUGUGGGUAGCGGAGAAAUUCCAAUCGAACUUGGAGAUAGCUGGUUCUCUCCGAAAUAGCUUUAGGGCUAGCCUCGAGGUAAAGAGUCAUGGAGGUAGAGCACUGUUUGGACUAGGGGCCCUUCUCGGGUUACCGAAUUCAGAUAAACUCCGAAUGCCAUGUACUUAUACUCGGGAGUCAGACUGCGAGUGAUAAGAUCCGUAGUCGAAAGGGAAACAGCCCAGACCACCAGUUAAGGUCCCCAAAUAUAUGUUAAGUGGAAAAGGAUGUGGGGUUGCUUAGACAACCAGGAUGUUGGCUUAGAAGCAGCCACCAUUGAAAGAGUGCGUAAUAGCUCACUGGUCGAGUGACCCCGCGCCGAAAAUGUACCGGGGCUAAACAUAUUACCGAAACUGUGGAUGAACCUCUUUAGAGGUUCGUGGUAGGAGAGCGUUCUAAGG